AGAGUUUGAUCAUGGCUCAGGAUGAACGCUGGCGGCGUGCCUAACACAUGCAAGUCGAGCGAUUUACUUCGGUAAAGAGCGGCGGACGGGUGAGUAACGCGUGGGUAACCUGCCCUGUACACACGGAUAACAUACCGAAAGGUAUGCUAAUACGAGAUAAUAUGCUUUUAUCGCAUGGUAGAAGUAUCAAAGUUUUUGCGGUACAGGAUGGGCCCGCGUCUGAUUAGCUAGUUGGUAAGGUAACGGCUUACCAAGGCGACGAUCAGUAGCCGACCUGAGAGGGUGAUCGGCCACAUUGGAACUGAGACACGGUCCAAACUCCUACGGGAGGCAGCAGUGGGGAAUAUUGCACAAUGGGCGAAAGCCUGAUGCAGCAACGCCGCGUGAGCGAUGAAGGCCUUCGGGUCGUAAAGCUCUGUCCUCAAGGAAGAUAAUGACGGUACUUGAGGAGGAAGCCCCGG
rnacentral:rRNA from 1 species